rnacentral:pre_miRNA from 1 species
GUGACCAUCAUGAUUCUGGUUUCAAUCCAGAGCAGUGUUUUCUUUACAUACAGAUAAUCUAGAAAACUGCAUCUGGAUUGAUCCCAGGGUCAUUUUAUACAC